GUAUAUAUGUUCAUAGCUUCGGCCACACGAAGUUCUUUAAGUCGCAGCUUAAUGAGGGAAGCGGAGCUCCGCAACCUCUCCAAGCAUUACACCAUGACCGAAAAGAAAAAGCUUAACUCACCUGUUUUCUGUCGAAGAGUGGUUCAGCAUGUCCCAGGGAGGCCCAGCUGUUCAGGCGGAGAGGAGUCAGACGAAUGACAGUGGGGACACUGAGGGGUGGAUGGUGCUGUCUUUACAGCAGACGAAAGACUUGGGAGCUGAGCUCAGUUUCACAGGGACAAUGUGAUGGUGCUGAGGUGGAGGAGCUGGUAAGAAUGGAGGCUUCACAGCUGGACAAAGAUCCAAGGCCGCUGUGUUUCACAUGAUCGAGGUUCUUACUGGCCCAGGGUGACACAGCUAGGUUUGAGAGCCGGUAGAUUCAAGACUGGAAAUUAAUACUCUUGAUCGUCCUGCUAAUGACAGAUAACUGGGGAUCUGGUUUAUUUUACUGGUUUGUGUUAUGCAGAUACUGUCAUUGGCCAGAAACUGCUGCCCCUGAGCUGCACAACAAUCCUGAAUGAAGAAACUAAAUGAAAAAUAACAGAAUAAUGGAGCAUACAAAAGAUGGUGUUUCAGUAAUAUUGAAACUAUUGCAUCAAACUGUAAAGUUGCAUUUGUUGAAUAAACAGUGACUCAGUUAACUUUUCUG